rnacentral:rRNA from 1 species
UACGAAGGGGGCUAGCGUUGCUCGGAAUCACUGGGCGUAAAGCGCACGUAGGCGGAUUCCUAAGUCGGGGGUGAAAUCCUGGAGCUUAACUCCAGAACUGCCUUCGAUACUGGAAAGCUCGAGUCCGGGAGAGGUGAGUGGAACUGCGAGUGUAGAGGUGAAAUUCGUAGAUAUUCGCAAGAACACCAGUGGCGAAGGCGGCUCACUGGCCCGGUACUGACGCUGAGGUGCGAAAGCGUGGGGAGCAAACAGG